CCUACGGGUGGCAGCAGUGAGGAAUAUUGGUCAAUGGCCGGGAGACUGAACCAGCCAAGUCGCGUGAGGGAGGAAUGUACAGUGUAUUGUAAACCUCUUUUGUCAGGGAGCAAAGACUGGCACGCGUCGCUGGUGGAGUGUACCUGAAGAAAAAGCAUCGGCUAACUCCGUGCCAGCAGCCGCGGUAAUACGGAGGAUGCGAGCGUUAUCCGGAUUUAUUGGGUUUAAAGGGUGCGCAGGCGGGUUAUUAAGUCAGCGGUAAAAGCCUGGGGCUCAACCCCGUCCAGCCGUUGAAACUGGCGAUCUUGAGUGGGCGAGAAGUAUGCGGAAUGCGCGGUGUAGCGGUGAAAUGCAUAGAUAUCGCGCAGAACUCCGAUUGCGAAGGCAGCAUGCCGGCUCCACACUGACGCUGAGGCACGAAAGCGUGGGUAUCGAACAGGAUUAGAUACCCGGGUAGUC
rnacentral:rRNA from 1 species